AGCACCACUAUCACAUUAUUUAAUACUGCUGGCAAGACUAAAAACACGUUGAAGACUUGUGUAUUAUUUGCAGCAUUUAAAAAACAAAUCUGUCUUUUGGUGCUGCCCAGGAGGAUUAAGAAGCAUAACUACGCAGCAGAAUGCGUCUGAGGCUUAAUGUACAAGUUAAGGCAGCACCAUAGACUUCUGAAAACAAAGAGAACUAAUCUUAGCAUGUGGGAGGGCUAACUGUGCUGGGAACAGGUGGCCCUGCUUUCAAUUAUGGAGGGCUAGCAUGCCAGUGUGAGGCCUGGAUUAGUUCACCUUCUCACAGGGAAUUUGCCUCGGUUGGGAAUGGAUUUAUUAUGGCUUCACACAUGGAAUGGAGCUCAUGUCAGCUGAGGGCAGUGACACAUCAUAUGAUUCAAAUUAACCUGCUGUGGACUGUUCCGCAGGGCAGAUAUUGUGUAUUAAAAUGACGACAUUUUAAAACAGCUUGAAAGAAACCAGGAUUGCCGAAAUGCAAUGGUUCUAAUUUGUUCCAACUAAUCUAUCACCUGCUGGAGAUAUUAUUCUAGUGUGUUUUUGGUAGCUGCUAUUUUCCAGGUUUCUCCAAAUCACUGACCUUGCUAAUGGAUACAGUUGUUGCUUUUGGAGGUAAAAAAAAAAAAAAAUCCUCCAAAGUGAGGGCCUUAGUGGGCUGUUUGUUUGUUUUUAUGUACAAGCAGUCACAGUAUUCAUCACAUCAUACAAACAAUGUAAGGGCAGGAUACAAACAGACCAAAAAAUGAUUUUGACCUUUGUUUCAUCACUCAGCAGAGGGACUAAAUGAUAGUUCUUAAUUCGAUUGGAUAAAGUGUUCUAUAGAAAAUUAUCCCAAAUGGCAAAAAAAUAAAAAAGCUUAAUAAUUUCAUACUUAAACUAACAUCUUUCCAAGAAAAUGUUAAGGAAAGAGGAUUUUGGCACAGAAAAUUUGUAUUUUGCUUACAUUUGUACUUUUAGGGCAAAUUAUAAGACAAGUUAUACUUUAUAAAUUACUCAGACUUUUCUAACAUUACUUACAGGAAAAAUAUGUUGAAAUACAGCUUAUGACCCAAUAAAAGACAUCUGAUUUUUUCUAGCUUUAAAGUAGGACAUAAUAGGGAAAGAUAACAAAAUAUUGUACUAAUUAAACAAAGUGGUCAUCUUUUUCGUUGUUGGUUAAGGAGAUUCGACAUCAAAAGUAACUAACAGUGUGGCUGUAUCUACAUGUGAAGAAAUAAAUAUACUAGAUUUAAUAUGAAAGAGAUGGUUGUGCAUCUUAACGUAGCAGAAGUUAAAAAAUUUGUAACUAAUUAGUUACUGUAAAAAGGAAAAGAACUGUUCUUUAGUUCAUGUUUUGGGAGUAAAGUUAAGGUCUGUUCCCAAAGGCUCAGUGAUGAAUGCUUAUUCCUCUUAGGAUCCUAUUACCUAAAAUCUGGAAGAAAUAUUAUUUUUCUUUAGUUGCCAAAAAUGUACAAAAUAAUCAACUCAUGUGGCAAGAAGUGCAUUAAUGUAUCUUGUUAUUCCCAUUUAAUUAGUGGUUUUCAAGUCUAGCUACUUGCUGUAGUUUUUUGAUCUUUAAGUUAAUAGAGAGUGACAAUCUGGCUUCCUGUGUGGUGAAAGAAUACAAUUUUUCUAGGGAACAACAUCUACUUAUCUACUUUAGCUGACAAACUGUUUACAGUAAGUAUCAUUUUAUCUAAAAUAGCAAAUACUGGGAAUCAUGCACAGACUGUUUGUUAACAGCUGUAGUUUGCAUCACAAAACAGAGGCAUGAAUGGUUAUCUAAGCUGGAAAGCAAAUCUCACCUUUCCAAAAAUAUAUUUCUAAGGAAAAAUGAUCUAUUGAUUAAAAACAUGUAAGUGUUUGAUCUGCUGUAGAACUAUAUACAGUUAUCAUUGUAAGAGCAAUAUUCAGGUUUCUUUUGGCAUUUACACAACUUGAUGAA